AAAAGUCAAACCAGCAUUAAAGGCACAUAUUGAUCUCACAAUAUAUAAAAGGUUGUUGCUCGCAUCUGAGCUGACCAAUCCUGAAAUGUCAGCCUCUUCCAGCCACCAGCUUCAUUGCACCUGUAAUAAUCAGCCAAACCGAUCAGCUUGGUUGAGUGGUUUGACUGUGGCUUCUGUGACCUCCUGUGUAUGCACAUCAGUGAUAAGCAAAGGUACGAACCACACUGGGGGACCUUGGGUUGCAUUUCAUCGGCAGCAAGGAAUGAACUGGUGAGAGUUCUCUUGUACAGCACUUAACAAAAGGAAAAUAAAAUGCACUGGAGAAACAAUACAGUGAAAUCUUUUAGGGAAACAAAAGAGAAGAGAGCUCUCACAUUAACAUUCUUGGAACCAUAGGCUGAUCUCCAUCAUCAGUUCUGGUCAUUGUCCAGUCAUGCCCACAAAGCCUCCCCAGUAGACACACAAUUCAGAUGCUGGCCACAGAUGUGCUGUUGGGAAGCAGGGGCUCUGACGCUGUGCUGGUAGGCAUCAGUGAGCCACGGACUGAUCUGAGUGCAAGAUGUUAUUCUAUUAAUUUUUUAUUAACCACAUAGGAAGCCUCUGUCAAGAUACUUACAGCAAAGUCGGAACGUGUCAAAUUCCUGCGUGAGUCACAGACCAAAUGUUGUGGAUCAAAAGCUCAGUUGUUGAACUUUGCAUUGGGCUUUAUAAGAAUAACUUGCACUUGAGAGCCUCAGUCAUACCUGUCAUGCUGCGGGCUCUGCAUUCAGAUAGCUUUGCAGUGCUACAGCUCAGCACAAAUGUCUGUAUUUAGAACGUGUUACGUGCUUUAUGAAAUAACUUGCUACCAAACCUGCAUAUCAGUAGCUAUACAGGUAGUGAGUAAAAGCUCACAUCAAUGGUGAAAAAGCAGUGGAAUACGUGCCAGUUGGCUCUUUGGUUGUUUUAUGAUACAGCUGGCUCAACUGCCUCAAAUCAAGUUUUAUGAUACAACUGGCUCUUCACUUGUUUUAUGAUACUUUUCCCAUCAAGUUGCAUCUGUUUCAGAAGAGUGAUGGAUCUGAAUCUGUGGGCCUCCUGUCCUUUGGUAUUAUCAAAAGGACACAGUGAGGUAUUUUGAGUCUGGCAGCACUACUGGCUAUUUUGGCUGGUGGUGUGUGGGAUAAAGUGGGAUUGCCCGUUACCAGCUCCAUGGGUGUGUUGUAGCAGCAAACAUUUGGUCGUCUCUAUGGGUUGUACGUACUGACAGGACACUUGGGGUGCUGUCCUAAAAAGAGGAAGGAGACUAGAAACGAUGCAUAGCCUACUGCUCGUAUUUACACAAGUGCUACAUUUGAAUAAUGGAGGCAAUGUUGGACUUUGCAGCAUGAUCCUUGAUUCUGAGGCUGUAAAAUUAUGGUACAGGAAGAACUGAGACUUUCUAACAAUCAUUUUGUUUAUAUGCAACAACUUUUAAAACAUUUUCCACAACUUUGUAAAUAACCUGCCUUUGCUAUGACUACUGACUAAUAAAAAGCCUGCUGCCUUA